rnacentral:lncRNA from 1 species
GCGAGGAGCGUCCAAGUCUGCAGAGAGCAAGGCGGGGCAAGGGGCAGGGAGAUGCUUAACAGCCCUAUGAAAGUGAAGUAGCUCAGUGGAGUCCGACUCUUUGCGAUCGCACGGACGGUAGCCUACCAGCCUCCUCCCUCCAUGGGAUUCUCCAGCUGGAAGGCCAAACUCCACAUGGCUCAGUUCCAGAGACACAAGGUCAAAACCUACAGUCUGAGACUGGAGGACUAAGGUAUGUGAUAACUUCCGUCAGUACCUUUUUUUUUUUUCAUUUUGAAACUGAAAAAUUUUACUAACCAUUGCUUUAAAAACAGCAAUUUUCGUUG